UACGGUGGAUUAAAUAGUGAAUGGGUUUCCUGGAAGUGCUCUCAGGUCUCACUCACCUCUCUAUCCCUCACGCUCUCAUCCUCCCCGAGCUACCCUCACGUACCCAACUACACACACCCACACCCCGACGACGGCGCGCCAUCACCAUCGGGUUCGUGGUCUCUCUCCCUCACUCCUCCUCGUCUCUGCAAGCUCCGAGACACCCAGAACCCACCCAAAGACCCCGGCGCACCCGUGACCUUCAAACCCAGAAUCCGGUCACCUCCGAUCCUUUUCACGGCGAACUAAAGAAUCCGGCGAACCAGACGGCUGCAGCCGAGGACAACCGAGGAAGGAGGAAUAUUCCGUUAAAGUUAA